rnacentral:lncRNA from 1 species
UAUAAAUAAAUUAACCAUUUUAAUGUUUACAAUAAUGAAAACAAAUGACUGACAAAUGAUAGAUUGCAAUAAAAAGAUUGUCAACAACAUAAUAUCAAGAUCUGCUAAUUAAAACACAAGAAAGAGAAUUCUGUCAAAUCUGAUAUGUAAAUUUCGGAGAUUCCCUGAUCUAUUUAUAGUAACUAACACCUAGAGGGACACUGUACUAAAAAAUCUAACAGUUUUAAAUGUUGACAUUAAAAAUGAAAAAAAUGAUUGUAAAAACAUUGAUAGAAAUAUAAAACAAAACAAACAAUAUAUUGCAUCUCACGAAUUUGUUCAAUCAUUUUUAAGAAUAGCAUUUUAGAUUUUCAAAAGGUUUGAUGUCUUUCCCAUAAAUUGUUCUUCUUGUAAAACUUAUUUAAUACUUGUCAGAAUAAAAAAAGUAUUGUUUUUUAAUUCUACUUUUGGUGUUAAAAAUGGUUUUUUUCAUUUGUUGUGUGCACCUUGUUCUCCUCUGCUAUUUCAAGUUACAGCAUAUAGUUAACAGAAUUGAAUUAAAACUGAUAUUUCUGUGCUUAUGGAAAAUGAGAGUUUCUUAUCCAAUGUUCUUCAAGUUUUUAAAUUAAAAUAAAUGUUUUAGAUAAGAAAACAGUGGUUUCACAUUUGCUUAUGAUUUAAAGAUGAUAUAUGGUCAUAGAUAUCUUUUCCAGUUAUUUUCUAUCUCCUUUUGAAAAUAAAGCAUGGUACAUUUUUUUCUAGUUGUCUUAAAGUUAAUUUUGUCAAUCCAAAAAUGUUUGUCUCUUCAUUUCUUUCCUCAAAUUUGAUUACUGUAAGCAGGCCAUUGUGUUCUCUUGUCCAGACAGAGAUGAUUACCUUCUACAUGUCUAAAUCUUCAAGGAUAUACUACAGGCUUUUUUGGAGACAUUCUCUACAAUGAUCUAAGAUGUUCUGCCUACCUUUCAAAUAUUAUAAUGUGUUCAAAGUUCAUAGUUCAUUACCGGAGUGAACUCUUAAAAUAAGGUUGUGAUUAUCAAAACUUUGUUUUUGCUGAAGGCAAAUGAUUUUAACCCAACAUUUUUUAUAAAAUGUACUACAGAUUUUCAAACAAAACGAAAUGAGAUCUUUAUCCAAAACUUGUUUAAAAAGUGCAGUCACAUAACAAUAUCAAUUGUGUUGGUUGGUUGGUUUGAUGGGGGAGGGGGCUCGACUCUUGAGAAACUAACUUUUUAAAAGGUUUUUUUUUUUAUUAAGAACCAAAACAUGAAAUAAAGACUUUUUUUUUAAAUGAAAGAAACAACUGCUGCUAAGUUAUCAUGUGAAGAGAAUAGAUGCACCAAAGUUUUUAAAUUUGCCCUUAUCAGAUUUGGCUGUUAAAUUUGUCAAUUAAAUAUACAUAUCGUUUCAUCCUGAAUAUAUAUUCUGAAUGAACAUAAAAUGCACUGUAUUUGUAUGAACACAACAGAAUGAUAAUAUAUGCAAUUCUUAAAUAUAAAAAAAACAAUAACAAAUGUCUUCCAAUUAUUUUCCAAACAAAUACACAAUCUGCACCAAUUAAUGAUUCUUUUCUUCUUUCCUGUUACAAAAGUAAAUAAACUGCUUGAGUAUUUCAUUUCUAGGUUACUAGUUUAUAAUUCAAACCUGCCAUUCCUGAUCAUUAUUAAAGAUGUCAAUACAAUAAUUUUUACUUUUCAAAUUUUGUCUGAAAAUUUUUAAUUUUAAUUGGUCUUUCCCCAUGUAAGAUAGUGUCUAUUGGGACUUUCUAACAUUGUCGACAUCCAACAAAGCAUAUAGCUUUUAGCUACUUUACAGUUUUCUUUAGCAGUCUUCUUAUUUUUCAACAUAGCAAAAUAUAAUUUAAAACUGUUGCUGAUACUUAUUGAACACUAUGGACUUAAAAAGUUAAAUGGAAGUUUGUAUUUGUGAGGUUUUCCAAAUUCAACAGAUCAGGAACGACAUGAGAAUUUUAUCUUCCUACAGCAUACAUGUUUGAAAGGUCUGUAUACAUAUUUUCUCAACAGCAAUGGAAAAAUAUGUGUAUGACACAAAUGCCUCACUUUUAGAAUAUAAACAAUGGUGACAUGUGUACUUUACGCACAUUCCCAACUAUUAAAAUAUGUUUUUCAAUUCAAAUUUAAUGUUUUCUUUUAAUAGUAUCAAUACAUUUUAUACUGAUAUAAAUUUUCCUUUUAUAUUCCUG